rnacentral:rRNA from 1 species
UACGAAGGGGGCUAGCGUUGUUCGGAAUUACUGGGCGUAAAGGGCGCGUAGGUGGUUUGAUAAGGGUGUGGUGAAAGUCCGGAGCUCAACUCCGGAUCUGCCGUGCCGACUGUCAAACUCGAGGGCUGUAGAGGCAGACGGAAUUCCGGGUGUAGCGGUGGAAUGCGUAGAGAUCCGGAGGAAGACCGGUGGCGAAGGCGGUCUGCUGGGCAGUUUCUGACACUGAGGCGCGACAGCGUGGGGAGCAAACAGG